CCUCAACUUUAAUCUGAGCUUUUAUUAAUAUCUACAUGGUCAGUAAAUUAAAUAUAACAAAAUACAUGAUUUUCAUUGAAACAAUCCAAAACACAGAGGAGAAUGUUACAAUAGAUGGUAAUAAAGCACUUCAGAAAGGGUACAUUUUGAGGAAAAAAUCAUUUGCGAACUGCCACAAAAGUAGCACUGGGUCUUUAUGUGUUAGAUCAGGCAACCAUGAGACACUAGACUAAUGUUCUAUCAGAAAAUAAAUAUGAUGCCACGUUACACUGUGUAUAAAAUGGAUCUCCAUCAGCUACCUGUUUGAGUGUGCUGCCACAUUUUCUAAUGUCUUGUGCCUCUAUAGUUCAUCAAAUCCUUCAUUUAUGGGUCAUUUUUUGUAUUAUUUUGUAAAAGUUUACAAAAAAUGAAAUUACAAAAGAUUAGCUGUCAUAGAGUUUGCAUCUUCAAGUCUCAUUCUACAAAUAUAUUUGUUGUAAUUUAUUUUAAUUCUUUUUUUUUCUUUUACCACACUGACAUGUCCUGCAACUUGUCAAAGCCCUGCAGAAAAAAUAUCUAUUUAUGAUGCAAACAGACGUUUAGCUAAGGAUUCCCAUUUAAGUGAAUUUACCACUACCUCUCUUCUUCUGCAGCCUGCUUAGGGACCAAUGGUAACAAAAAAGUCAUUGUUUUUCAUCAGUGUACAUGCAUGUGCAUAUAACUGAAUUUCACCAAAACACAGGAUAAUAUACACUGUACACUAUCUUGUGCACUGUAGUGUAUUGUACAUACCAUCAUGUGGCCUUGUUUGGAUGAAUGUAGUUUGUAAAUAAAGACAAUUUUGGUAUUGA